AGACGUAAGUGGCAAGCGUUAUCCGGAAUCACAGGGCGUAAAGGGCAUCUAGGCGGCCUAUAAAGUCAGAGGUGAAAAUUCAUGGCUCAACCAUGUCCUUGCCUUUGAAACUAAUAAGCUAGAGUACGGGAGAGGAGGGCGGAACUACAAGUGUAGCGGUGGAAUGCGUAGAUAUUUGUAGGAAUGCCGAUGACGAAGGUAGCUCUCUGGACCGAUACUGACGCUAAAGUGCGAAAGCUAGGGGAGCAAACAGGAUUAGAAACCCUAGUAGUCC
rnacentral:rRNA from 1 species